GACGAAGGGGGCUAGCGUUGUUCGGAAUUACUGGGCGUAAAGCGCGUGUAGGCGGUUGUUCAAGUCAGGUGUGAAAGCCUUGAGCUCAACUCAAGAAAUGCACUUGAUACUGGAUGACUAGAGGACCGGAGAGGAUAGUGGAAUUCCCAGUGUAGUGGUGAAAUACGUAGAGAUUGGGAAGAACACCAGUGGCGAAGGCGGCUAUCUGGGACUGGUUUCUGACGCUAAGACGCGAAAGCGUGGGGAGCGAACA
rnacentral:rRNA from 1 species